GACGUAGGGCGCGAGCGUUGUCCGGAUUUAUUGGGCGUAAAGAGCUUGUAGGCGGUUUGUCGCGUCUGCUGUGAAAAUCCGGGGCUCAACCCCGGACUUGCAGUGGGUACGGGCAGACUAGAGUGUGGUAGGGGAGACUGGAAUUCCUGGUGUAGCGGUGAAAUGCGCAGAUAUCAGGAGGAACACCGAUGGCGAAGGCAGGUCUCUGGGCCACUACUGACGCUGAGAAGCGAAAGCAUGGGGAGCGAAACAGG
rnacentral:rRNA from 1 species